GUUGUAUAGUCAAGUAAUUAAGUGCAUGUGGUGGAUGCCUUGGCAGUCAGAGGCGAAGAAAGACGUGAUAGCCUGCGAAAAGCUCCGGGGAGGCGGCAAAUAUCCUGUGAUCCGGAGAUGUCUGAAUGGGGAAACCCACCGGCUAUAAGGUCGGUAUCAUAAACUGAAUACAUAGGUUUAUGAGGCGAACGCGGAGAAGUGAAACAUCUCAGUAUCCGUAGGAAAAGAAAUCAAUUGAGAUUCCCUCAGUAGCGGCGAGCGAAAGGGGAACAGCCCAUUAAGUCAUAUCAGUUUUAGUGGAAUGCUCUGGGAAGUGCAACCAUAGUGGGUGAUAGUCCUGUACACGAAAGGGCUGAUAUGAUGAUGUCGAGUAGGGCGAGGCACGUGAAACCUUGUCUGAAUAUAGGGGGACCAUCCUCUAAGGCUAAAUACUCCUGACUGACCGAUAGUGAACCAGUACCGUGAGGGAAAGGCGAAAAGAACCCCUGUGAGGGGAGUGAAAUAGAUCCUGAAACCGCAUGCAUACAAGCAGUGGGAGCCACUUCGUGUGG
rnacentral:rRNA from 1 species